rnacentral:lncRNA from 1 species
AGGCGGAGUGGCGGUCAAAGCGAGGACCCAAGAUGUGCUCCAGGGAGAUACCACGAUGGCAGACACGUUGAGUGAAGAAGUGACGGAUGCGCAUCUCGGGGAGGAGGCGGAUAAAGAGUGCCCUCUGGGGACAGGGGUGAUGAAGGACGGGGACGCAGAGCGCGCCGGGAGCUUGCGAGCAGCAGUUGUGGCUGAGGAAGGUCUCGGAGCAGGAGGAGUGGCAGAAACGGUCGCAGAGAGGGAGGCGCUGGCAGAUUCCACGACAGCCGAGGGCAAAACAGAAGCAAGUACAGCCUCCUUUUCAGAUGUUGCUGGGGAAGAAACUUGGCACAAAGUGGACAGCAGGGCAGAGCCCGGGAGAGAGAGUCGGCAGGACAUGGAAACACACCCUGCAAAGCCCGAUUGUCCAGGAACCCAAGAGAAGCAAAGAGAAAGUGAGAACCCAGAUGUUUCCCUGAACGACAACAGGAAGGCCUAAGAGACCUUGGCUGAUGCACAGCUCUCCGAAGCAGCGAGAUCCCCAUCUCCCGUACAGGGCCUGGAAGAUGGAAUACAGAGGAGAAAGUGCCACCGGGAC